rnacentral:rRNA from 1 species
GAUGAACGCUGGCGGCGUGCCUAAGACAUGCAAGUCGAGUGGGUUUAGACCCACGGCGAACGGGUGAGUAAUAGAUAGGAAUUUUCUUUAAGUUAAGAAUAUCCCACCGAAAGGUGGUGCAAUACUUAAUGUGAUCGCAAGAUUAAAGCCGCAAGGCGCUUAAGGUGAAGCCUGUCUCCCAUCAGCUAGUUGGUAAGGUAAUGGCUUACCAAGGCUAUGACGGGUAGCGGGUCCGAGAGGAUUAUCCGCCACACUGGGACUGCGACACGGCCCAGACUCCUACGGGAGGCAGCAGUUUGGAAUUUGGUCAAUGGGG